UGCCUUAGUAACGGCGAGUGAAGCGGCAAAAGCUCAUAUUUGAAAUCUGGUACCUUCGGUGCCCGAGUUGUAAUUUGGAGAGGGCAACUUUGGGGCCGUUCCUUGUCUAUGUUCCUUGGAACAGGACGUCAUAGAGGGUGAGAAUCCCGUGUGGCGAGGAGUGCGGUUCUUUGUAAAGUGCCUUCCAAGAGUCGAGUUGUUUGGGAAUGCAGCUCUAAGUGGGUGGUAAAUUCCAUCUAAAGCUAAAUAUUGGCGAGAGACCGAUAGCGAACAAGUACAGUGAUGGAAAGAUGAAAAGAACUUUGAAAAGAGAGUGAAAAAGUACGUGAAAUUGUUGAAAGGGAAGGGCAUUUGAUCAGACAUGGUGUUUUGUGCCCUCUGCUCCUUGUGGGUAGGGGAAUCUCGCAUUUCACUGGGCCAGCAUCAGUUUUGGUGGCAGGAUAAAUCCAUAGGAAUGUAGCUUGCCUCGGUAAGUAUUAUAGCCUGUGGGAAUACUGCCAGCUGGGACUGAGGACUGCGACGUAAGUCAAGGAUGCUGGCAUAAUGGUUAUAUGCCGCCCGUCUUGAAACACGGACCAAGGAGUCUAACGUCUAUGCGAGUGUUUGGGUGUAAAACCCAUACGCGUAAUGAAAGUGAACGUAGGUUGGGGCCUCGCAAGAGGUGCACAAUCGACCGAUCCUGAUGUCUUCGGAUGGAUUUGAGUAAGAGCAUACCUGUUGGGACCCGAAAGAUGGUGAACUAUGCCUGAAUAGGGUGAAGCCAGAGGAAACUCUGGUGGAGGCUCGCAGCGGUUCUGACGUGCAAAUCGAUCGUCGAAUUUGGGUAUA
rnacentral:rRNA from 1 species